CAUGCAGUCGAGCGCACUCUUCGGAGUGAGCGGCGGACGGGUUAGUAACGCGUGGGAACAUACCCUUUUCUACGGAAUAGCCUCGGGAAACUGAGAGUAAUACCGUAUACGCCCUUCGGGGGAAAGAUUUAUCGGUGAAGGAUUGGCCCGCGUUUGAUUAGAUAGUUGGUGGGGUAAUGGCCUACCAAGUCUACGAUCAAUAGCUGGUUUGAGAGGAUGAUCAGCAACACUGGGACUGAGACACGGCCCAGACUCCUACGGGAGGCAGCAGUGGGGAAUCUUAGACAAUGGGCGCAAGCCUGAUCUAGCCAUGCCGCGUGAGUGACGAAGGCCUUAGGGUCGUAAAGCUCUUUCGCCAGAGAUGAUAAUGACAGUAUCUGGUAAAGAAACCCCGGCUAACUCCGUGCCAGCAGCCGCGGUAAUACGGAGGGGGUUAGCGUUGUUCGGAAUUACUGGGCGUAAAGCGUACGUAGGCGGAUUGGAAAGUAGAGGGUGAAAUCCCAGGGCUCAACCCUGGAACUGCCUUCUAAACUAUCAGUCUAGAGUUCGAGAGAGGUGAGUGGAAUUCCAAGUGUAGAGGUGAAAUUCGUAGAUAUUUGGAGGAACACCAGUGGCGAAGGCGGCUCACUGGCUCGAUACUGACGCUGAGGUACGAAAGUGUGGGGAGCAAACAGGAUUAGAUACCCUGGUAGUCCACACCGUAAACGAUGAAUGCCAGACGUCGGGGGGCUUGCCCUUCGGUGUCACACCUAACGGAUUAAGCAUUCCGCCUGGGGAGUACAUGCAGUCGCAUGCAGUCGCAUGCAGUCGACGGGG
rnacentral:rRNA from 1 species